AUUGAACGCUGGCGGCAUGCCUUACACAUGCAAGUCGAACGGCAGCACGGGAGCAAUCCUGGUGGCGAGUGGCGAACGGGUGAGUAAAGUAUCGGAACGUGCCCAGUCGUGGGGGAUAACGUAGCGAAAGUUACGCUAAUACCGCAUACGAUCUAUGGAUGAAAGCGGGGGAUCGCAAGACCUCGCGCGAUUGGAGCGGCCGAUAUCAGAUUAGGUAGUUGGUGGGGUAAAGGCUCACCAAGCCGACGAUCUGUAGCUGGUCUGAGAGGACGACCAGCCACACUGGGACGGAGACACGGCCCAGACUCCUACGGGAGGCAGCAGUGGGGAAUUUUGGACAAUGGGCGAAAGCCUGAUCCAGCCAUGCCGCGUGCAGGAUGAAGGCCUUCGGGUUGUAAACUGCUUUUGUAUGGAACGAAAAGGUUUGGCCUAAUAAGCUGAGCUCAUGACGGUACCGUAAGAAUAAGCACCGGCUAACUACGUGCCAGCCGCCGCCGUAA
rnacentral:rRNA from 1 species